rnacentral:rRNA from 1 species
UUUCGCAAUGCCCGAAAGGGUGACGAAGCGACGCCGCGUGGGUGAGGAAGGCCCUCGGGUUGUAAAGCCCUGUCAGGAGUUAAGAAAUGUAGGUACGCUAAUAUCGUAUCUAUUUGACAAAGGCUCCAAAGGAAGCCACGGCUAACUCUGUGCCAGCAGCCGCGGUAAUACAGAGGUGGCAAGCGUUGUUCGGAAUUAUUGGGCGUAAAGAGCACGUAGGUGGAUUUGUAAGUCAGAUGUGAAAGCCUUCUGUUCAACGGGAGAAUUGCAUCUGAAACUACAAACCUUGAGUAUAGGAGGGGAGAAUGGAACUUCUGGUGGAGCGGUGAAAUGCGUAGAUAUCAGAAGGAACGCCGGCGGCGAAAGCGAUUCUCUGGCCUAUUACUGACACUCAGUGUGCGAAAGCUAGGGGAGCAAACGGGAUUAGAUACCCCGGUAGUCCUAGCCGUAAACGAUGGGCACUAAGUAGAGGGGUUUUA